GUCGCCGUGGUGAAGCCCGGUCUAACACACUGGUCUUUCAAGCCAGGAUUCGCGGGUUCAAAUCCCGCCGGCGAC
rnacentral:tRNA from 1 species